CCUACGGGUGGCAGCAGUUAGGAAUUUUGGGCAAUGGGCGAAAGCCUGACCCAGCAACGCCGCGUGGGUGACGAAGGCCUUCGGGUUGUAAAGCCCUUUUCUCGGGGAAGAUGAUGACGGUACCCGAGGAAGAAGCACCGGCUAACUACGUGCCAGCAGCCGCGGUAAUACGUAGGGUGCAAGCGUUGCCCGGAUUUAUUGGGCGUAAAGGGCGCGUAGGCGGCUCGACACGUUCGUUGUGAAAUCGCCCGGCUCAACUGGGCGGGGUCAGCGAAUACGGUCGAGCUUGAGCAAGCUAGGGGGCAAUGGAAUUCCCGGUGUAGUGGUGGAAUGCGUAGAUAUCGGGAGGAACACCAGUGGCGAAGGCGGUUGCCUGGGGCUUUGCUGACGCUGAUGCGCGAAAGCGUGGGGAGCGAUCCGGAUUAGAUACCCCUGUAGUC
rnacentral:rRNA from 1 species